GAGGGUGUAGCUCAGUGGUAGAGCACAUGCUUAGCUUGCACGAGCUCCUGGGUUCAAUCCCCAGUACCUCCC
rnacentral:tRNA from 1 species